UGGGGGAGGGUGGAGGGGCCUGGGCUCCCUUUCCCCUACGUCUGGGUAGCACCAGGCUGAAAACCAAACCCAGAGAGGACACCUAAGCAGAGGAUGCUGGGGACACAGAACAGGCAAGGCCCAGACAGUCCUGCCUGCGCAGGCUCACAGGCCUGCUGAGGCUGGGCAAGGCGUGGGUAAGACAUUCAGUGAUGGCCAGAGGCCACAGGCUGGGAAGGCUGGUCCCUGGGCACGACCCCUGCAGGGGUCAGAGAAGGUCUCCCUGAGAAGGGUGCCUGAGGACCAGGUGGCUAACUAGGUGAAGAAGGACAGGGUGGGGGGCAGGUGGUGUGGAUGAGGAUCCGGGGCCUCGUCCUGAGAGCCUGGGAAGAGGUGUGGCUGGAAGGCAUGGCGGGUUUCAUAGAGGAGCCAGGAGACCAGGUCUGCAAGGCUGCCUGGGCCCAUAGGGGACAAGGGUGGGUGCAGGAGCAUGGUGUCAAGGUCCCCAGGAAGGCCGUGGCAGCCUGCUCCAGGGAGUGGCCUCUGAGACAGGGGAGCUCGCCUUGGACAGUAUGGUGCAGAGGACAGGACUUGGAGCCAUAGGUGGGUGGGGUUGCGGGAGGCCGCGGAGGGGUCAGGGAGGUGCCUGGGCUCUGGCUUGUGCGAUGAUGGAGGCUGGUGCUGCCCCAGGGGCAGGGGACAGCAGAGGGGAGAAGGCUCUUGGGAGGCCAUGCAUUUGAGGACGUGGUGGGAGCAGUCAGGGGUGUGCAGGGCAGAGGGACGGCCUGAGCAAAGCCUGGAAAGAAAGGGGCAGCGAGAGCUCUGGGGGAUGUUCUGUGGCGCCGAGCCUCGUUGGGAGCCUUGGGUGCAGCGGAGGGAUCUGGCGUGGACCAUGGAGAGGAGAAGGCUGGGUCCCAGCGCUGAGCCCAGCCAGGCACUCAGCAAAUGUGGUGACACUCAGGGGCUGGGAAGGACACUGGGCAUGGGUGGCAGUGCACCUCUGGGCAGCUUGUGGGUGAGGGUGGAUGUAUGUGUCCCUGGCACCGGGUCC
rnacentral:lncRNA from 1 species